rnacentral:lncRNA from 1 species
CAAGUAGGGGUCGCGAUGCGAGGGGCAGCCUAGUUCAGCAAAUUUCAGUUGCGGGUUAUGGGAUAAAUGGGUCAAUUUCCCCACCCUUAUUCACCUAAAAACACAAAAUUAAGCAUCCGUUCACCAAAAUAUACUCACUUUCUCUCAAACUCUCUCAAGAACAAGCAUUAGGGUUUUCAAUUCAAGAUUCAAAUCUCAAGAAUUCUACCAUCAAUCUUCUCAAAAAAAGCAUAAAGG